UGGAUUGAGUUUAGGAAGAAAAAAGAAGGGGUUAGCUUUGGUCCUGCCUCCUUUCCUUUCUCUACUUUGCUUGUCCCUCCUUCGGCCUUAGUUUGGAAAUUCAGUUAACUUAGGCAGAAGGUUACAGGAGCCCAGGGCUUUCCCCAGCAGCCUUGUCCUCCCACCUUGUCCCUCCUUCAGCUCCCGUGCACUCGAUCUGGAGGACUGCUGACCAAACUGCGGGAAUAAUUAGACUGGCUGUACCAUCUCACAUUCCACCAGCAAUGUAUGAGUUGACCCAGUUUCUUGGCAUCCUCACCAGCCUUUGGAACAGGAUGCACUUCCCCAGGACUGAUACUGUUAAGUAGGGGUAGGAGACACCAUGCUGUGCAGAAGGAAAGCUCCUCUUCAGAACAGAUACCUGUGCAGUCCCCACUUGAUCCCUAUUGGUGCCCCCAGUAGUUGUAGAAAGUUCUUCUCCAGGCCUCUCACUGACUUCCUCUUGGUAAAUGAUGAGAGAUACCAGACCGCAAAGCAGUGAGUGCCUCACCCAGCCAACUCUCUGGGGAGUUUGGUGCAAGAUGGCUCCCACUCAACCUCUGCAAGUGCUACCAGGGGAGAAGAUUCUUACCUAGGCCACCUUCUGUCACUGUGUGUAGAGCUGGGCGAUACUAGGACCAGGUUGCCUUCUGCCACUAGGUGGAGGAUCAAGAAAUGCUGAUCAAUCCCUUUUAACACAAUCCAAAGCACCAGAAACGUCAAAGAAUCCCAAUUUGCUUUGGCAGCAUAGGAUUCCUAUUUCCAGAUACACAUUAUGAGAAGACUGUCUGGGAGCCUGGAACUUCAUCACACGUCUUGUUCUUGGACAAAUCACCUGUCAAGUUCAGUGGCAUGUAUAUUUCUAAUCAAUAACCCUCUCGUGGUGUCUGUGGGAAAUCUCAGAAAGAUCUGUUAACCACAAUCUGGCCUUUUUGAGUUAGUUGGGAGCUGGUAGCAUCAGGCUGGCUGGGCCCUGUAUGGAGAUGUUGUGGGUAUUCAGGAAUGAGUCAGAGACUCUGCAUACAUUUAGGACCCCCACAUGUGUCUUCCUUUCCCCCAUUCCCAAAUCCUCAGUCUCAUCUCAUUAGGCCCUAUGAAACUUUCUCUUGUCCCUGCCACUUUCAUGUCCACCCCUUCAGAACACAACACUGUUUCAGCAUCCCACCCUCUGCCAUUCAUUGUUAAGAAUGUAAUCCUGCAAUCUGUGGCCCCAGGAAAAGAAAAGACCAAGUUAAGUCCUUUUAGAUGCCCAGUUUUAUUAGUGGUCCCACCCACCCUUCCUCACAGUUAUUACGUUUCCAUUAUUGAGAUGAGGGGACUGCAGCCAAGUGGGUUAAGCAAGUGCAGCACUUAUACUUAUGAGUGUCGUGGACACUGUGGGAUGGAGAUUGGGGUGGGGCAGAGCUCCAACUGCUGUGCCUAUGAGCAGCUUUUAUGGAAGAAUUGGACUUAGCUCUUUCUUUGGAGUUUUUGUUGAUCAUCCUGAAACAGGAUCUUCCUUUUAGGAGAUGUGCCUUAAUCUUCCCUUGAAAAGGUAUCCUAAGGAAUCGGACUUGGAUAGGAACACAGAUCAUAUCAGUGCAGUUCCCAUGUCAUUUAACAUACCCAUUCACUUUCUCACACACAAAUACUCUCUUACUAACCCAGACAAACAAAGGGCCUAAACACUUAACUGUCUGGAAUAUGUCACUUGACCUUGUUUACUCCCCAUACCUACUCUGGAAUGAAGUAUUAUUUCUAUUUUAUUUUCUGGUUUAGACAUUGAACCUCGGAAAGGUUAAGUCACUUGUCCAGGGUCCUGGAACUGGGAUGUGCUGGUGGCAGAAUUCUAAACCAGAGUGAUGUGGGGUGGCCUGUGGAGCACUCCAACUCCAAAUUGUAAUACUAUCAACAAUAGUAUAAUGUAUAUUAAAGAAACAAAAACAAUAGAGUGUGUUCAAAAAGUUAAGUGUCAGUCUCCUUAGAAAAGGGCCCAUUCUUUUAGUCUAUGAGCCCUUAUAGUGUGACGGGCUUUGCUCCAAGCACUUGGUACUGAAUAACUUCAUGGAAACUAGAACUGCUCUGGUACCACCUAACUUGCCUGUGGUCCCCAUCAAAGGACAGUCACUAUCUAUUAGGUGAAUACUUUAUAACUUCCUUUCCAUCCCUUCAGGCAGUUGUUUCAUCAUUUAUUCAACAAGUAUGGAGCAUCACCUCUGUACCAGGCCCCGCCCUCGGAGCUAGCAAUUCAAGGAUAAGGGAAACCCACUCCCUGCCUUCAAGGAACACACAAUUUAGCAGCAGAAACAGAGAUAUUAAACACAUAUUAUAAUUAAAAACAGACAUAUAAACACAUAAAUAAUAAUGAUGGAGCAUUAGACUAGAUGCCUUGAGAAUCCAGG